UACGUAGGGGGCAAGCGUUGUCCGGAAUCAUUGGGCGUAAAGAGCGCGUAGGCGGCCCAGUCAGUCCGCUCUGAAAGUCAGGGGCUCAACCCCUGAAUGCGGGUGGAUACUGCUGGGCUAGAGUCCGGAAGAGGCGAGUGGAAUUCCUGGUGUAGCGGUGAAAUGCGCAGAUAUCGGGAGGAACACCAAUGGCGAAGGCAGGUCUCUGGGCCAUAACUGACGCUGAGAAGCGAAAGCAUGGGGAGCGAACAGG
rnacentral:rRNA from 1 species